ACUCCUGCGGGAGGCAGCAGUGGGGAAUUUUGGACAAUGGGCGAAAGCCUGAUCCAGCAAUGCCGCGUGAGUGAAGAAGGCCUUCGGGUUGUAAAGCUCUUUUGUCAGGGAAGAAACGGUGAAAGCUAAUAUCUUUUGCUAAUGACGGUACCUGAAGAAUAAGCACCGGCUAACUACGUGCCAGCAGCCGCGGUAAUACGUAGGGUGCAAGCGUUAAUCGGAAUUACUGGGCGUAAAGCGUGCGCAGGCGGUUUUGUAAGUCUGAUGUGAAAUCCCCGGGCUCAACCUGGGAAUUGCAUUGGAGACUGCAAGGCUAGAAUCUGGCAGAGGGGUGUAGAAUUCCACGUGUAGCAGUGAAAUGCGUAGAUAUGUGGAGGAACACCGAUGGCGAAGGCAGCCCCCUGGGUCAAGAUUGACGCUCAUGCACGAAAGCGUGGGGAGCAAACAGGAUUAGAAACCCCUGUAGUCCCAU
rnacentral:rRNA from 1 species